UCAAGUGCAAUGUUUUGAAAAAACCUUCCCCUAGGGUUGAUCUUUGGCAACUUCCUGUGGCUGUCCUGAAGAAGGGUGUGUGCUUGUGUGCGUUACGCCAGUGUUGUGGGUGGAGUAGGCGCGAUUGGACAAAUAAAGAUCCCACAUGUUCAUACGUGGGAGUGAAAGUAAAGAUGUGAUUUAUCGCACUUACCUGAGAUUCUGCUGAGGAGCACGGCAGGAAUUCCAGGAUUCCGCGUUAACCUCAGAACACGAUGAGUUUACCUUUAAGACAUG